rnacentral:rRNA from 1 species
GAGUUUGAUCCUGGCUCGGAUUGAACACUGGCGGCAUGCCUUACACAUGCAAGUCGAACGGCAGCACGGGAGCUUGCUCCUGGUGGCGAGUGGCGAACGGGUGAGUAAUGCAUCGGAACGUAUCCUGGAGUGGGGGAUAACGUAGCGAAAGUUACGCUAAUACCGCAUAUUCUGUGAGCAGGGAAAGCGGGGGACCUUCGGGCCUCGCGCUCUUGGAGCGGCCGAUGUCGGAUUAGCUAGUUGGUGAGGUAAAGGCUCACCAAGGCGACGAUCCGUAGCAGGUCUGAGAGGAUGAUCUGCCACACUGGAACUGAGACACGGGUCCAGACUCCUACGGGAGGCAGCAGUGGGGAAUUUUGGACAAUGGGGGCAACCCUGAUCCAGCCAUGCCGCGUGAGUGAAGAAGGCC